ACGUUGAAACACUGGUUCCCGUACAAUCACCAAAGUUAAGCAACGUCGAGCCUGGUCAGUAUCUAGACGAGCGACCGCUUGGGAAUACCAGGUGCUGUAAG